UACGGAGGGGGCAAGCGUUGUUCGGAAUUACUGGGCGUAAAGGGCGCGCAGGCGGCUGCUCAAGUCAGGCGUGAAAGGCCUGGGCUCAACCCGGGAAUUGCGCUUGAGACUGGGCUGGCUUGAGUGCGGGAGAGGAUGGUGGAAUUCCCAGUGUAGAGGUGAAAUUCGUAGAUAUCGGGAAGAACACCCGUGGCGAAGGCGGCUCUCUGGAACGCAACUGACGCUGAGACGCGAAAAGCGUGGGGAGCAAACAGG
rnacentral:rRNA from 1 species